GGCUCAAGCAAUCCUCCCAUCUCAGCCUCUCAAAGUGCUGGGAUUAAGGCAUAAGCCACCAUGCUUGGCCUCGGUAUUUGCUGCUCGGUCAAUAUUUAUUCCUAUAAACUUCCCAAUGAAAGGAGAUUUGAAGGGUGGUUUUAACCUUCUUCUUUAUCUUAGGUGAUCAAUCACCUCAAUUUGCCCUGGACUGUGAGGUUUCUGGGAUGCUGGAUUUGGGAUGCUAAAACCAGAAUAAGUUGGUCAUCUCAUCUUUAUCUUCCCCCUAAAUAUCCAGUAUAAUCUACAUCAGUGCUUUAAAAUGGAAUUUGUGUUUUAUGGGCAUUAGCAAUUCAGAAAUGUGCCUACACAGGCAAACAGAAAGAACAGGGGAGUCACAAAUAGGCUUAGCCACAUACAGGUGAUACACUCACACUUAGAGUGUUGGGCACCAAUAGGUGAAGUUCCGGAUUAAGAAGAGAAUUAUAACUGAGCAGGGCAUUGGAAGACAUCCUCUUAUGGAACCUGAGAAGCCUAACCCAAACUAUUUGCCGCCAGGUCACCUACCUCUGAAGCGGUCUUGACGGUGGAUGGUUAGAAAUCAGCAUAAGUUUAAUAAAGCUGGUUCCCGUUAUCACAUGUGAAUACAUAUCCUGAAUUAUACCUAACAAACUUUGCAGCUUCUACUUUGGAAAUUCCUUCUACAGUCUAUCCAGUGACUCCAUUCACAUGCUCCUGUCUUGUCAUCGAGCCCUGUUCAUCUCUUACCAUCUUUCACCUGGACCGUUGCCAGUUUCUGAGCUGCCUGCUCUUGAAUGCCGGCUUCCUGAAAAUAUCACCAAAACAAUCUGAUCAUAAGACAAAGCGGAGUCUAUUGCUCACUGAAGAAACAGAGAGCUCCGUCUUUAGAGUCUUGGUAACAUUUCGGUGAGAGGAUGACCCGAUCGCACUGUUUAGGAGGUUUCGGAUGCUGAUGAAGGAGAACAACAACGAACCAGUGGCACAGGAGAGAGGAAAGCCUUCCCCAGGAAUCUUUCCUCAUAACUUUGCAUGGUAGGUGGGCUGUGGGGAGAGACGUGAUUCAGUACUGCUGUGUCACUUAACAGUUGAAUCUGCCUGGAGUGCAAUGGCAGAGGAUGAAAAGUUGCCUACUAUAAUUGUUACAGCCAUUUAAGAACGUUUCCCUCCACCUGGGCACUAUUGACAUAUUGGGCUAGAUAAUUCUUUGUUGUGGGAGUUGAGGCUGUCCUGUGCAUUAUGAAUGUUUGACAGCAUCCCUGGUCUCUACCCAUUAGAUGCCGGUGGCAACCCCAGCCCCACCCCAAGGCACCAUCAUUGUGAUAAAGAUGCCUGCAGACAUUGUGAAAUGUCUCUCGGGGGGUAAAAUCAUCCCUGCUUGAGAACUCCUGAUUUAUAGGAAUAAUUUCAUUUCCAUCACAGUGCCUGUCUUGGCAGAGUGUUUACUAUGUGAAAAUUACGGAGUAGGUACAGCUUUACCUAGGUGAACCAAAUAUUCAUGAUUACUGCUCAUAUGGGCCUUAAAUCUGAUGAGUGAAAAGAUGGAUGGGUGAAUGCAGGAUGGCUCAAAAAGCAGAUGUGAUUUCUCUUAGGAAUCAACCAGUGUUAAAAAAAAAAAAAAAGUCACCCAGCCUACUUCCUUUCUAGUCAAUCACAGGAGGUUAAAAACAAUCCUUGUGUGAGGCAGGCCAAGGAGUCCCCCAUUAGAUUCCAUUAACCCAGGAAAAAAAAAAGCAGUAAUAUUGGCCAGGC